rnacentral:rRNA from 1 species
CAGUAGCCGCGGGAAUACGUAGGGGGCAAGCGUUAUCCGGAUUUACUGGGUGUAAAGGGAGCGCAGACGGCAGUGCAAGUCUGAAGUGAAAGGCGUGGGCUCAACCCAUGAACUGCUUUGGAAACUGUAUAGCUUGAGUGUCGGAGGGGUAAGCGGAAUUCCUAGUGUAGCGGUGAAAUGCGUAGAUAUUAGGAGGAACACCGGAGGCGAAGGCGGCUUACUGGACGACAACUGACGCUGAGGCUCGAAGGCGUGGGGAGCAAACAGGAUUAGAGACCCGUGUAGUCCCUGUCUCUUAUAC